CGCGCGACUCUUUCUCGCCUCGACAUACGUCACCCAUCACUCUCUCACAGUACUGCACAGAAAGAGACAGACGAUCUCUGUCGCGGCGAGGAAGAGUCGCGUGCUUACGGUGCUAGGUCCGCAGAUCACAGAUCAAGACGUCAAUACAUUUUAAUAUACUAUCGCGGAGCUCCGUGUGUCGUAAAGUUUGCGGACGAGUGAAGUGCAAAGUUGAAGUACUUAUGAACUAUUUACUCAUACUUGUAUGGCGCUCACUUGGCCCUUUCAACCUCUUUCUUCUAUUCCGUGGGGAAGAGUUACCUUUGGCCUGCAGUGAGAUGGUGUAAUAUUAAUUAGUCAAGUGCACAAGAGAAAACAUUACAAGAAAUGUAAAAUUGUAAAUAUCGCAACACUUGUACUUAAGUACAAAGUACAAUGUCUCCACAUUAUCAUCAUGGUCAAUCGUAAAACAAAACAUGACUAGCCUUGUAAAUAAUUUAUACAACAUAUUGUUUGUAUUUUUACUCAUAUUUCGUGUGUCUAUACAGGGUGUUAGUGACAUCGUAACGAAAACUUUGAGGGAUGAAUGAUUCUGAGUCGAUAACAAGUGGAUUUUUCCGUCGCAAAAAUCAUGUAUUUUUUUAGUUUUUUUAAAUUAUUUUCAAUUCUAUACUUUUGCGAUGGAAAAUUCCACUUGACAUUAACUCACCUGAUAUCAAGUGGAUUUUUUAAUUAUUUUCCUAUCCAUACUUUUGCGACGGAAAAUUCCACUUGAUAUCAACUCAGAAUCAUAGUCUGAAUCAUCCCUCAAAGUUUUCGUUACGAUGUCACUAACACCCUGUAUAUAUCGUGGCCAGAUCUUAGAAUUGAUCAUUUCAUGAUGUGCUCGAUCAUUUCGUGAAAUAGCCAACUUAAGUUGACCUGUUUUUUUUUUUCUAUUACUAUAUUUUUUGUUUGUGUGUUAGUUUACCUUUUAAUUGUUUGUAAUUUGUAAUUUUUUCGUAUAUUUCAUGUUAUUUAUAGUUUUAUUUUUAUUUGUUUCAUUCACUGUUUAUUUUGUUUAUUACUUUAUAUUAUAUUAAGUAUAUUGUUUUCUCGUCAUACUGCGCAUUGAGUUACACUGUAAAGCUGAUGGCAGAUUCUGGACACAAUUUGCGAGAAUGCCGUCAAGUAAAGAUAGAGAGGAAGUCUUUCCGAGUACGUCUUUAUCACUUCGGUCAUUUGAGCCAAUAUCGAAUGGACACUCGUAUCCUUUGAUGUCACUUCUACAUCCAACCUGCAAUAUCCUGCGUAGUCUCAAAAGCGGUUCUAUGGUGCGAACAUCUGACUGGACCACAGAGAGUCGACGCCGCCACUCGCUGAGCAGCUGGUUUAAUAUAUCCGAGGCUUGCCUGUCGCCGUCGUCGAGGUUCU